rnacentral:rRNA from 1 species
GACGAACGCUGGCGGCGUGCCUAAUACAUGCAAGUAGAACGCACAGUUUAUACCGUAGCUUGCUACACCAUAAACUGUGAGUUGCGAACGGGUGAGUAACGCGUAGGUAACCUGCCUGGUAGCGGGGGAUAACUAUUGGAAACGAUAGCUAAUACCGCAUAAUAUUAAUUAUUGCAUGAUAAUUGAUUGAAAGAUGCAAUUGCAUCACUACCAGAUGGACCUGCGUUGUAUUAGCUAGUAGGUGAGGUAACGGCUCACCUAGGCGACGAUACAUAGCCGACCUGAGAGGGUGAUCGGCCACACUGGGACUGAGACACGGCCCAGACUCCUACGGGAGGCAGCAGUAGGGAAUCUUCGGCAAUGGACGAAAGUCUGACCGAGCAACGCCGCGUGAGUGAAGAAGGUUUUCGGAUCGUAAAGCUCUGUUGUAAGAGAAGAACGGGUGUGAGAGUGGAAAGUUCACACUGUGACGGUAUCUUACCAGAAGGGGGCGGCUAACUACGUG